rfam:Porphyromonas sp. HMSC065F10 Porphyromonas_spHMPREF2890-1.0_Cont611.3, whole genome shotgun sequence.
CAAGGGGCGCCUCUUGGGAGAGAAUAAGCAAUAGCGAACUCGUGGCCUGACGAACAGAGACCUAAUAUUAAGGCGUAUUAAGCGGACUAGCUUGCCAAAGGCGGUGAAGAUCCAAAAGGCAAUCGUAACCUUGAUGCGUAAAUUAGGCAGGUAAACGAUGAAAGGUGUAAGGC